UUUGCAAGUAUUAGGUGUAAAGAAGCAAUUUGGAGAAAAUGCUCUUUAAAAUACCAAAAAGUGCCAAAAUUGAAAAAGCCACCUUCGACAGCUCUUUCGGCGGCCGAACCUUCGGUCCAGAGGCGAAACUCAACCUCCUUCGGAAGCACUUUGGGGAGCCAAAACUGCCAGUCAUCUUCGGCGGCACUUUCGGCGGCCGAACCUUCACUCCAGAGACGAAAGUCACCUUCCUUCGGCGGCACCUUCGGUCGCCGAACCUUGCGUUCAGAGCCGAAAGUCCUGCCUCCGAAACUUAACUUAGGCGGCCGAAAGUGCCCCCGAACAGCCUCCUUCCUAUUCAAUGAGCCAAAUCUUGGAGAUCACAUGUUUCCUACAUAGUGCCAUGCUCAUUCAAAAUUCAAAUCAAGGCUCCACCUUCCUCAUUAGUGCAUAAAUCUUCUUGGACACACCAUGAACAGCAAUUAAAGGACCAAAAUGCCCAACCCUUGCCCUCACAUGCACACAUAAGGCCAAGGGCACUUUGGGCAAAUCUCUAAAAGACCUCUCAAGAUCUAUUUAAAGGCUUCAAGAAGAUCAAGAACUCAUCAUCUCCCAUCAAGGAUUGAUCAAGAAUUCGGCAAGGCUUCUCCUAGGCCUCCUCCACCUUAGUUCUUCAUCUUUUUGCUUUCUUUUCUUUGAUUUUCUGUUUUGGUUCAGCCAUGAGUGGCUAAAACCCCUUACUCUAGUUGAAGUUUGGUUGAAACUAAGGUUGUUUAAAGGGUUGUGAGAUCUGAACAUAAAGUGUUUGCUUUUGAUUUAUUCAAUAUUCAUGCAAUUGUGCUUAAUUCUAAGAUUGCUUUGUUGUUUUGAUCAAAUUGGCCACUUGAUUCUUGAUUGCAAAGUUAAUUGAUUGUUGGAUUAGGAUAUUUGUUAGUCCGUAAUUGCUGAAAAUAUUCUGUCCAUAGAACACUUAGUGUAAAAACCCAAGAAAUUGUAUGAUCUAGCAACAUCUUAUGCGUUUGAGUAGCUAGGGUUUGGAUCUUUCUUGUUCUUCAUGCAAUUGGCAAUUGUUUUGAUGCCUUUGGCCCAAGGAAGUUCCUUGGCAAUUUGUUGAUUAGUAAUUGGUUAGAGGACGUUCCCUAAUCAGUUUGUUCAUAAGGAAAGACAUGGUAGUGAGAAGCGUCUUCCACCCCCAUAACCAACCUAUUGAAUCAAUCAAGAUAACCAUGUUUCAAUGAUCAACCCAAACAACCAAAGUGGAUCCAUAUCUUCAACUAGACUUCUCUCAUAUUGAUUUCUUCUUUUAUUUUAAUUACUUGCUGUUUUAAUUGCUUUCAAUAGUCGUUAGACAAAUCAAUCUCAAAACCCCCUUUUUACUUUCCUUGCACUUUACUUUUGUUCUAUUUGCGAUUACUUACUUUCUACUGUGUUUUCAAUUAGUUUCCUUAGUCUUGAUUGAGAAAAAAUAAAUAGGUAAUCAAUUCUCUGUGGAUUCGAUCCUUCACCACUAUCUACAGUUGUAAAUUGUUGAUAACCAAGAAGGUUAUUUUUGACCGGCUUCGACAACCGACAGUCAAAAAUUGGCGCCGUUGCCGGGAAAUUGAUCUCACUUGUUUAUUUAUUUUUCUUUCAUGACCAGGUCUGAGCAUAGGGACACUCUGCCCUUUAAUCCAGAAAUUGAACGCACCCUCAGAAGGCUAGGAAAGCAAGCCUCUACGCCUGAAGAACAUUCUGCCCAACCUUCGGCCGCCGAAAGUCCUUCUCUCCAGCAACCGAACUUUGCACCGAUGGCAGAACCUCAAGCACCAGCUGCUGCCCCCAAUGGACAAGCUGUCCAGAAUCAAAUAGUUCAAGAAAAUCCAGCAAUAAGACCUCAAGUGCCAAGGGAAAGAACUAUGAGAGAGUUAGCAACACCUAUAGGUGAUCAAGCGCCUCUUUGCAUCACCUAUCCACCUCUUACAGUUCCCUUUGAACUCAAGACAGGUUUGAUACAUCUACUCCCUAAAUUUGGAGAUAGAGAGAAUGAAAAUCCACACAAGCACUUAAAAGAAUUUAGUAUUGUUUGUUCAUCCGUGAGACCUCAAGGGAUCUCUGAAGAUCAUGUUAAAUUGAGAGCUUUUCCCUUUUCAUUAGAUGACUAUGCUAAGGAUUGGUUAUUUUAUUUGCCACCUGGAUCUAUAACUUCUUGGGAUGAUAUGGUCCAAACCUUCUUGGACAAGUACUUCCCACCAUCUAAAUCAAUAGGCAUAAUAAGAGAAAUCACUAGCAUACGACAAAAACAAAAUGAGGACUUAUAUACAGUUCUUCUAUGGAGGAUUGAUUCCAUCAGAAAUGAAACUCAUAAAUGUAGCUUUUGGAGGAUCCAUCCUAGACAAGUCACCAAGGGAGAUGAAAGAGUUGAUAUCUACUCUUGCAGCCUCAUCUAGGCAGUAUGGAGAAGAGAGGCAACUACAAAGGGCAAAUGAGGUAAGUUUUCCCACUAUUUCUGAACUAACAUCUGUUAUGAAAAAUAUUAUCAUAGAUGUUGUGCAACAGAUGCAAACACCCCAGCCACCUAGGCCAUGUGGGAUUUGCUCAUAUGUAGGACACCCGACUGAUCAAUGUCCUACACUCUAAGAAGACCACUAGCAAGCAAAUGCCAUUGGAGGGUACCAUAACCAGCCUAGACAUGAUCCGUACUCAAACACUUACAAUCCUGGCUGGAGAGACCAUCCCAAUUUCAGCUAUGGAAGGGCCAACAAUACCCAGAACUACCAAAGAAAUCAAGCCCAACCAGCACCUCAGAACUCUAAUCCGAGCCUUGAGAAGAUGAUGGAGACACUGAUAAGCACCAUGCAAGGCGUGCGACAAGACCUAGGACAAAUGGCCACCUCUAUAAGCUAACUGCAAACCCAAGGCAAACUACCUUCUCAAACUGAAACUAACCCAAGACAGAAUGUCAGUGCUAUUACUUUGAGAAGUGGCAAAGAGCUUCAAGAUGCUAGUCAUGAGUAAGAGAAGGAAGUUGCACCAAAGACACCUCCUGCGCAAGAACCAAUGCAACCUGAAGCCUCUCCAUCACAAUCUGAACCACCUCCUGCGCACAAAACUGAUCCAAAAGUAAGUUUUCACAUUCCACUUCCUUUUCCAAAAAGAUUUGAAAGAACGCAAAAAGAAAAAGAAGAAAAGGAGAUCCUUGAGACUUUCAGAAAAGUGGAAAUCAACAUACCACUGCUAGAUGCUGUCAAGCAGAUCCCCAGGUAUGCAAAAUUUCUGAAAGAGCUUUGCACCAAUAGAAGAAAGCUUGCUAAAAGAGAAAAAGUAAGUGUAGGUGAGGUAGUUACUACUGUUAUUAAAAGAGAACUCCCUACCAAAUGCAAGGACAAAGGUAUGUUUGCUAUCUCUUGCAAAAUUGGUAAUGUUGGUAUCAAGAAAGCCAUGUGUGAUUUAGGUGCAUCUAUCAAUGUCAUGCCUCUCUCCAUCUAUAGAUCUCUAAAUGCAUGUGCACUUAAGGAAACAAGAGUUGUGAUAUAGCUAGCUGAUAGAUCUGUGGUAUAUCCCAUAGGUGUUCUAGAAGAUGUCUUAGUCCAAGUAGAUGAACUUGUCUUUCCUGCUGAUUUUUAUGUAAUUGAUACUAAGGAAGAUAGUUGCAAUACUAGUUCUGACAUUCUUCUUGGACGUCCUUUCUUGAGUACCGCUAGGACUAAAAUCGAUGUGCAUGAUGGUACUCUUACCAUGGAAUUUGAAGGGAAAGUCAUUAAGUACAAUGUCUAUGAUGCUAUGAAAUACCCACAUGAUAUGUCCCCAGUUUAUGGUCUUGAUAUUAUUGAUUGUUUAAGCCAAGAUGUGUUUAAUGAAAAUCAAGAUUGUAUUUUGGAGGAUGAUCUUUGCAGGAUUGAAAACCUGAAACUGAAAGAAACCAUUUGCAGCAUUCAGCAAGUAGAGGUAAAGCAGACAGAAGGCAUUCGGCCGCCGAACACAGCCCACCUUCGGCCGCCGAACCCCGCUGCUCUUCAGACACCAGAUUCUGUUGCACCACUUUUGCAACACAUUGCGCAGAAGAAAGACGUCCUUCAGCCGCCGAACCCAAGCGAUUUUCAGAAGUCGAAUCCAUCGCCACAGUUCACUUCGCAAAGUGAAGACCUUCGGCCGCCGAACUCAGACACUUUUCGGCCGCCGAACCUCUCACAGCAGCUUCCAUCACAAGCAAACUCUUCCAUCCCACCUCCUUUGCAGUCAAGACCAGAAUAGUACCUUCCAGAUUCUGAAGAGAGUAAGCACGAUCUCCUUGAAAAAAUCUUUCUUGCUCAAUCUGAUGAGCCAUGGUAAGCAGAUAUGGUAAACUACUUGGCCACAGGUAACUUACCUUCUGACAUGCCAAAGCACACUAAAGAUAAGAUAAAAAAAAGAUGCCAAAUACUAUGUUUGGAAUGAGCCAUAUUUGUGGAAAUAUUGUGCUGACCAAAUGAUAAGGAAAUGCAUUCCUGAUCAAGAAAUAGCCUCUGUACUCACUUUUUAUCAUUCAUAUAGUUGUGGAGGACACUUUGAUCCAAGGAAAACUGCUCAUAAGAUACUUGAAAGUGGCCUAUUUUGGCCCAUAAUAUUUCGAGAUGCCUUUUUGUUUUGCAGGUCAUGUGCUAGGUGUCAACAAACUGGAAAUCUGAGUAGAAGAAAUCAAAUGCCACAUAACCCCAUCAUGGUCUGUGAGGUAUUUGAUGUUUGGGGCAUAGACUUCAUGGGCCCAUUCCCACCAUCCUUUGGAUACACUUAUAUCAUCCUUGCAGUGGAUUAUGUGUCCAAAUGGGUGGAAGCUAGAGCAACUAAGACCGAUGAUGCCAAAGCAGUAGUAAACUUUGUGAAGACCAACAUCUUUGCCAGACAUGGAGUAUCAAAAGCAAUCAUCAGUGAUAGAGGGACCCAUUUUUGCAAUAGGGUGGUGGAAAGCCUUCUCAGAAAACACAAUGUCAUACAUAGGAUAUCCACAGCCUACCACCCUCAAACAAAUGGGCAAGUUGAAGUCUCCAAUAGAGAAAUCAAAGCCAUCCUUGAAAAGACAGUCUCCCCAAACCGAAAGGAUUGGAGUACAAGGUUAGAAGAUGCUCUAUGGGCCUACAGAAUAGCCUACAAGACCCCCAUAGUAUGUCUCCCUACAGAUUGGUCUAUGGGAAAGCUUGUCACCUUCCAGUUGAACUUGAGCACAAAGCCCAUUGGGCUGUGAAGAAUUGCAACUUGGACCUCAAAGAAGCUGGCCACCAUCGCAAGUUGCAACUGCAAGAUCUAGAGGAAAUAAGACGAGAUGCAUAUGAGAAUUCAUGGAACUACAAAACAAAAACCAAAGCCUCACAUGACAAUCAUCUUUCAAGAAAAUAAUUUGAGGCUGGUGAUAAAGUCUUACUCUUUGACUCUCAUUUGAAGUUGUUUCCAGGGAAGCUACGGUCUAGGUGGAUUGGACCAUUCAUUGUAUAACAUUGAUAGAGCAUAAUUUAGUCCAUUUUAUAUUAAUAUUAUUAAUAAAUAUUUACAUGAUUUCUGCCUAAUUUAGUGUUUUCAAUAUUAUUUUGCAGAAAAUAGUGUAAAAGGACAAUUUGGAGAAAAUCUCCCUAAAACUGCCUUAUUAGAGCAAAGAAUGAGGAAAGGAUUUUGAAGCUUAAAUAUUCAAGUUUCUGGGCCCACUUAUGGAUCAGCCCAUUCCCACACCACUCAGCCCAAACGCUUCACGGGACAACUCCAGCACAUGGGCCCGCCAUUGCACCUCAGCAAAUCUCCCGCACCUUCACGCACUUGGGCACCCCCUUUUCCUGCAAAGAACCAAGCGUGCAAGUCCACCAUUCCCUCCAGUGGACCAGUCCACGCACAAUCAAGCACAUGGACAAAGCCCAGCGCAUGGACCCGCCGAAGCUCCUCUCUGCACGUGGACCGCUUCAUCCACUCCAGCACCCAACACUCACGCGGCCCGCUUCUCCAAAUUCACUUCACGUGGACCACAUUCCCACUUCACCCAUUCUUGCACAAUGGCCCAACUUCACCACUCCAGCACAUGGUCCCGCCAAGGCAUAUGGACCAAGCAGCGGACAGCACAUGGACCUUUCACUUGCAACAGGGCCCGCCACUCAUGCCCCAUUUCAACCCACGCAUAUGGACCGCACAGCGUGGGCCCGCGCUUCAUCAUUGUCUUCACGUGGACCAUGGACCAUGGACCAGCGCUUUUUCUCAAAGUUCACGCGAACCACUCACACUAAUUCUUCCACUUCAGCGCUCUCACACGUGGACGGCAAAUUCCCAAUUAGGGCGUCUCUCCAGCUCUAUUUAAAGAGCUUUAAGCAGCCAGAAAGAGAAUUCAAUUCUCACUCGGCAAUUUCGGUGCUCGGCGCAAAAGGCAGAAUCUCCAUCGGUUUUUUUCCUUUUCUUUUCCUUUUAAUUUUCUGUUUUUAAUUCAGCCAAUGAGUGACUGAUUUCUUUAAUUCUAGUUGAGGAUUGGUUGAAACUAAGGUUGUUUAAUGGAUUGUGAGAUCUGAACAUAAAUUAUUGUCUUUGGUUUUGUUCAAUAUUUAUGCAAUUAAUGCUUUAAUUAUAUGAUUACUUUGUUGUUUUGAUCAAAUUGGCCACUUGAUNNNNNNNNNNNNNNNNNNNNNNNNNNNNNNNNNNNNNNNNNNNNNNNNNNNNNNNNNNNNNNNNNNNNNNNNNNNNNNNNNNNNNNNNNNNNNNNNNNNNNNNNNNNNNNNNNNNNNNNNNNNNNNNNNNNNNNNNNNNNNNNNNNNNNNNNNCAAACCCCCCCAUUUUACUUUUAUUGCAAUUUAUUUUUAUUCUGUUUCCAGUUUAUCUCAUUUGAUCCCACUUUCAGUCUUUUAUCUCAUCUUUAAUUUAUUAUUGUUUUAGUUUAUUUUAUUGGUCUUGUUAAGAAAAAUAAAUAGGUAAUCAAUUCUCUGUGGAUUCGAUCCUUUCACCAAUAUCUGCAGUUGUAAAAUUGUUGAUAACCAGAAAGGUUAUUUUUGACCGGCCUCGAAAACCGCGAGUCAAACAUGCCUACCCACAUGGAGCUGUAGACAUCAAAAGCAUAGAAACUGGAAAAAUCUUCAAAGUAAAUGGACAUCGUCUGAAGCCAUACUUUGAAGGAUUCGCAGUACAAGUAGUGGAAGAAAUUCCACUACAACAGCAUUCUGCCUAAAGAAAUCAUGCCAUGCACACCACACCCCAGGGGAGUAUUCAAAUUCCUUUGUUCUCUUUUUUCUUUUACAUUGAGGACAAUGCAUGAUUUAAGUGUGGGGGUGCAUAUCUUCUUCUUUCUUCUUCCCUUCUCUUCAUCUUCUUCCUUUAUCUUCUGCGAUUUUACAUGCUUUCAGAUUGCAAAAUUUUUUUUUUCUCCUUUCAGUCUUGCAUUUCUUUCAGUUAAUUAGCCACAGUUGAAUUUUAAUUUGUUUAACCUUUCAAUAAAACACACACAACCACAACCUUCUUCUUCUUUUUUUGUUUUGCUCUACUCAAACUGAUGAACUAUGUUAGAUGAGUCCUUCUUUCCAUGACUCCAUUGAUGUGAUAACUCUUUAAACUUAUGUUGAAUCAAUUGCAGUGAGCUAUAUUCAUGUUUGAGAAUUGCCUUUUGAAUUGAAUCUUUGAGUUUGCUAUGAUGAAAAAUAUAUUGAUGACCCUCAAUUGAUUGAGAAUAAAUUGAAAUUGUGUGAAUGAACCUAAUGUGACUUGAUUUAGCAAUUGGUGUUGAUUUGCCCAAAUCAUUGAAAGAAAGAAAAUUCAGCAAAGGCAAAGACCUCAAAAGCACAAAUUCAAAAACUGUUCCAAUGGUCAAAAGACUAGGAACAAGGCUAGUAGCCACUUGGAUAGGUGACCAACUGAAAAAUAUAAACCAUGACAUCAAAAAUAGGUUGGUGACCUUUCCAAGCAAAAUCAAAGUGCAAAAGCCUGAAUAAAGUACUUCAAGGUAAGGGCAAGUCAAUCCAAAAGCUAGAAAAAGUCUUAACAAAUUAAUGUGCAUGUCUCUCUUGAGGAAAACAAAUCUUAGCCAUGGUAAGCAAAGGGAAACAAGGAAAGGGGGUAAGUAAUCUUCAUGCACAUAUUCUUCACUGCAAUGCUUCAAAAUAAGUGUCUAGAGUAUGAGCUAAAGUGGUAAUAAGGAUCUAGAGGAAGAAAACUUAUUUGACUAUGUUUAUUUGCUUGAGGACAAGCAAAAGCUUAAGUGUGGGGGUAUUUGAUAGAGCAUAUUUUAGCCCAAUUUAUCCUCAUGUUCUUGAUGUUUAUUUACACCUAUUCUACCUAAUUUUUUGGUUUUCAACAUGUUUUGCAAGUAUUAGGUGUAAAGAAGCAAUUUGGAGAAAAUGCUCUUAAAAAUACCAAAAAGUGCCAAAAUUAGAAAAGCCAACUUCGGCAGCUCUUUCGGCGGCCGAACCUUCGGUCCAGAGGCAAAACUCAACCUCCUUUGGAAGCACUUUCGGGAGCCAAAUUUGCCAGUCAUCUUCGGCGGCACUUUCGGCGCCCGAACCUUCACUCCAGAGACGAAAGUCACCUUCCUUCGGCGGCACCUUCGGCCGCCGAACCUUGCGUCCAGAGCCGAAAGUCCUGCCUCUGAAACUUAACUUAGGCGGCCGAAAGUGCCCCCGAACAGCCUCCUUCCUAUUCAAUGAGCCAAAUCUUGGAGAUCACAUGUUUCCUACAUAGUGCCAUGCUCAUUCAAAAUUCAAAUCAAGGCUCCACCUUCCUCAUUAGUGUAUAAAUCUUCUUGGACACACCAUGGACAGCAAUUAAAGGACCAAAAUGCCCAACCCUUGCCCUCACAUGCACACAUAAGGCCAAGGGCACUUUGGGCAAAUCUCUAAAAGAUGCAUGGACAGCCACCAAACCCUAAGGAGCCUCUCAAGAUCUAUUUAAAGGCUUCAAGAAGAUCAAGAACUCAUCAUCUCCCAUCAAGGAUUGAUCAAGAAUUCGGCAAGGCUUCUCCUAGGCCUCCUCCACCUUAGUUCUUCAUCUUUUUGCUUUCUUUUCUUUGAUUUUCUGUUUUGGUUCAGCGAUGAGUGGCUGAAACCCCUUACUCUAGUUGAAGUUUGGUUGAAACUAAGGUUGUUUAAAGGGUUGUGGGAUCUGAACAUAAAGUGUUUGCUUUUGAUUUAUUCAAUAUUCAUGCAAUUGUGCUUAAUUCUAAGAUUGC
rnacentral:lncRNA from 1 species